AUGGCAAGGACACCGAGGACGACAUUUUUACACCUUGUCCUAACCCUCUGCUGCAUCCUCUGGGGUCAAAACACGCCCUCUUUAGCUUCCACUGCAACUGCAAUCGAUGAAUUCCUUGGCUGCCUCUCCGCGGACAUCCCGUCUGGCCUCAUCCAUACCCCGGCAACCCCGGCCUACUCUGCCCUCCUGCUGUCCACCGCCCGGAACCUCCGCUACAUCCUGCCGGACACCUCCAAGCCUCUAGCGAUCAUCGCGGCCACCGAGCACGCCCACGUGCAGACCACUGUGCGCUGCGGCCGCCGCCACGGCGUCCGCGUCCGCGUGCGCAGCGGCGGCCACGACUACGAGGGCCUGUCCUACGCCUCCGUCCACCUCCACAAGUACAACGAGCCGUUCGCGGUGCUGGACCUCGCCGCUCUCCGGGCCAUCCACGUCGACCCGGCACGUGCUGAGGCGUGGGUCGAGUCCGGCGCCACCGUCGGCGAGCUCUACUACGCCGUCGGCGCCGCCAGCCACUCGCUGGGGUUCCCGGCGGGCUCUUGCCCCACCAUGGGCAUCGGCGGCCACCUUAGCGGUGGCGGGUUUGGCUCGCUGGCACGCAAGUACGGCCUCUCCGCCGACAACGUCCUCGACGCCCUCGUCGUGGACACCGACGGAAGGCUGAUGAACAGGAGCACCAUGGGGGAGGACCACUUCUGGGCUCUCUGUGGCGGAGGCGGCGAGAGCUUCGGCGUGGUGCUGUCGUGGAAGGUGCGGCUAGUCCCCGUGCCGGAGACCGUCACGGUGUUCAGCAUCGUAAGGUCAAGGAGCCAAUCCGCCAUCGAACUGAUUACAAAAUGGCAAGAGAUGGCGCCGGCUUCACCGCAGGAGCUGUACCUCCGCGUGCUCGUGCUGAACCAGCAGGCUAAUUUCCAGGCGUUGUUUCUCGGCCGGUGCGGCGGCCUCCAUCGGCUCAUGCAAGAUCGCUUCCCCGAGCUCGGAAUGACGGAGCAAGACUGCGAGGAGGAGCCGAUUCCAAGGGACGUGUGGGAGAGCAUAUGGACGGCGUGGCUGGAGAAGCCCGAGGCCGCGCUGCUCAUGCUGGACCCUUACGGUGGCUUGAUGAGCAGCAUCUCGCCGUCGGAGACGCCGUUCCCGCACCGGCAGGGGAACCUUUACCAGCUCCAGUACUACUCCUUCUGGUACGAGAACGGGACGGCAGCAGCGGAGAAGCGAAUGAGCUGGGUCAGGGGACUGUACAAGGAGAUGGAGCCUUACGUGUCCAGCAACCCAAGGGCUGUGUACGUCAACUACAGGGACCUUGACCUGGGGACGAAUGAGUUGGACGGUGACGUGACGAGCUAUGACAAGGCUAGAGUCAGCUGGGGAGACAAGUAUUUCAAAGGAAAUUUUAAGAGGCUGGCAGCCGUGAAGACCAUGGUGGAUCCCCAUGAUUUCUUCAGAAAUGAGCAGAGCAUCCCUCCUCUUCCCGCUGCCAAAAUGAUAGAUUCCAUUUGA
rnacentral:rRNA from 1 species